CAAAUACAUUGUCAAGCUCAAUGAAUUCAACCAACCUAUUCGAAAAUGUGGGAAGAUCCUUGUGAGCUUCCUUGGAGAUAUUGCAAAAAAUGAUUCACUUUGUCCAGUGGGAGUCCCAAGUUGGCGUGAUGUGAACAGUAAGUUAAAAACUAAUGUUGUUACAAUGAUUCGGAAACAUUUUGUGUUACCUGAUGGACCUCUAGUUAACAAGGCACUAGUGAUGCGUAUUGACAAACCAUGGAACAAUCAUCGAUACAAAUUGAAGAAGAAUUUUUUCGAUGUGAAUAAAUCUCCAGAAGAGAACUAUGCCAAUCUGCCUGAUGGAGUGUCCAUUAGGAGUUGGACGAAUUUGGUAGAUUAUUGGCUUUUACCAUAGGCCAUGGAAAAAUCUGAAAUGGGAAAAAAAUGCUCGAGCAUUACAAGGCAAUAACCACAACAGUGGUGCUACAAGCUUUGCUAAUCGAAGAGUUGAUAUGAAAGAGAAGAAAGGAGAGUUUAGCGAAUUGGCAUUUUUCAAAUCAGUUUACGCCAAAGAAGAUGGAAGCUUUAAAGAGGGCACACUUCCUCAUCAAUUUGUGGAGGAUGCCAACAAAAAGGUCCAAGAAAGCUUGCGAGUUCCUCUUCUUCAAAGCCCGUAAUUGAAAUUGAGAAUGCAGUCUUUAAUGAGCUCAUGUAUAAAGGUGAAGUACCUAAACGUCCUCUGAAUUAUGGAUUUGGAGUGAAGCAAAGCGACAUCUUUGGAGUGGAAGGUUUGCUGAGGAAAGAAGGGUCAGGCUAUGUUAACAACAAUGCUAUGGAAGUGGAGAACAUGAAAGGUGAAAUAUCAGUUGUCAAGAAGCAAAAUGAGGACCUUGCGCAACAAAAUCAAGUUCUGCAUACCAAGUUCGAAGAAACAACACAAUCAUUUAAAAUGAUUGCUUCUUUUUUGGGACAAGUUUUGAAGGAAGUACGCAAAGGGAAUGUUUCAUCGAACCUUUUAGAUGGUGCGGAAUCAGCAAUAAAUAUGAUUACUGAUGAUUCUGGUGGCAAUGGUGACAACCAGGCCGAGAAAUGAGACUUUGACACUAUUGCCAAAUGCAAGAUUAUUGAUGAUUCAAGUGGUAAUAGUAAAUGUAGAUCAAGAGAUGAACAAGUUAUCUUGAAGCUAAGCUAGCAUAAGGAUAGGUUUACUUGUUCGUAACCUUGUUUUUAUUUAGUUUUGGACUAUCUUGUAGAAAAAAUGAUAAUGCUAGUUAGAAAGUUAUUUUUGUUUUAAAAAUAUCACUUUUAUUUCAGUUUGACUAGACUCUGCGAAUUAAUUUAAUGUAUAGAUGAUUUUUAUCACUUUUUCUAAAUUAACUACUUAAGUAUAUAUAUGAAUCAUA